CCUAGGAAAUUGCCCUGAUGUGGGGGAUAACCAUUGGAAACGAUGGCUAAUACCGCAUAAUACCUACGGGUCAAAGAGGGGGACCUUCGGGCCUCUCGCGUCAGGAUAUGCCUAGGUGGGAUUAGCUAGUUGGUGAGGUAAUGGCUCACCAAGGCGACGAUCCCUAGCUGGUCUGAGAGGAUGAUCAGCCACACUGGAACUGAGACACGGUCCAGACUCCUACGGGAGGCAGCAGUGGGGAAUAUUGCACAAUGGGCGCAAGCCUGAUGCAGCCAUGCCGCGUGUGUGAAGAAGGCCUUCGGGUUGUAAAGCACUUUCAGUCGUGAGGAAGGUAGUGUAGUUAAUAGCUGCAUUAUUUGACGUUAGCGACAGAAGAAGCACCGGCUAACUCCGUGCCAGCAGCCGCGGUAAUACGGAGGGUGCGAGCGUUAAUCGGAAUUACUGGGCGUAAAGCGCAUGCAGGUGGUUUGUUAAGUCAGAUGUGAAAGCCCGGGGCUCAACCUCGGAAUAGCAUUUGAAACUGGCAGACUAGAGUACUGUAGAGGGGGGUAGAAUUUCAGGUGUAGCGGUGAAAUGCGUAGAGAUCUGAAGGAAUACCGG
rnacentral:rRNA from 1 species